AACAAAAUGCCCGCACAUGUGGCGAGCUCGGUAGCGGGCGAUUCCUGCUUCGGGCCUAACACAUGCAAGUCGAGCGGAGAUGAGGUGCUUGCACCUUAUCUUAGCGGCGGACGGGUGAGUAAUGCUUAGGAAUCUGCCUAUUAGUGGGGGACAACAUUCCGAAAGGGAUGCUAAUACCGCAUACGUCCUACGGGAGAAAGCAGGGGAUCUUCCGACCUUGCGCUAAUAGAUGAGCCUAAGUCGGAUUAGCUAGUUGGUGGGGUAAAGGCCUACCAAGGCGACGAUCUGUAGCGGGUCUGAGAGGAUGAUCCGCCACACUGGGACUGAGACACGGCCCAGACUCCUACGGGAGGCAGCAGUGGGGAAUAUUGGACAAUGGGGGGAACCCUGAUCCAGCCAUGCCGCGUGUGUGAAGAAGGCCUUAUGGUUGUAAAGCACUUUAAGCGAGGAGGAGGCUACUGAGACUAAUACUCUCGGAUAGUGGACGUUACUCGCAGAAUAAGCACCGGCUAACUCUGUGCCAGCAGCCGCGGUAAUACAGAGGGUGCGAGCGUUAAUCAGAUUUACUGGGCGUAAAGCGUGCGUAGGCGGCUUUUUAAGUCGGAUGUGAAAUCCCCGAGCUUAACUUGGGAAUUGCAUUCGAUACUGG
rnacentral:rRNA from 1 species